CUCACUUUUCUGAUGAACACCGAUGCACCAUGAUACUUCGAUGUGUGACUACAGAAGGGCUCUAUACCUUGAUGUUUUGAUGGGCGAAUAGGGACAAUCUUUGAACCCAGAUAAAUGAAUAGAUAAGUGAUUUCUAAAGCUCAGUAUUUUGACGAGUCAGUUGGGGGGCAGACGGAAGAGGAGCAAGAGGGAUAUCGCCAAAACUCGGCGUUAUUGAUGCGUGGUAGGUGGUGAGCCGGAGUACCUGAAGCUUUAUCUUGAUGAGCACGGGACAUUUUUUUGAACCUUUGUAUUUCAAUGCGUGAACGUUGGGUAAAUUCCAUCCCUAAUAUUUUAAUACGUAAACGGAGCUGGUGACGGGAACUGGACAUUUUGAUGGAUGCCGGUGGGAAAGACAUUUCUGCAUGGUUAAACCAACAAGGAUAACCCAGGGAUCUAGGUACCUCUGAGGGGUGGAAGAAGCAGGAUCUCGACCGGGCUGCUCCGACUCCUGAACUGCGACGAUCCCUGCGACCUCUUCUGCCUGGCCGCUUUCCGCACGGAUUUCCUGGUGAAACCAUCUACUUUUUCCGCCGCUGUCACCACUGCCGCCGCUGCCGACAUCUUCUUGAAAACACACUGGCGAUCACACCGGCAGAAAAAUUAGCGGCAGCGGGCGAUGAGCUGCGUGUUUGUGAAUUCGAUCCAAUACAGGAUUUAAAGUAACCGUCAGGGAAAAGGAUGGGGGAUUGAAGAGCGUGGGGGUGAAAUUAUACUUUUUUUUAAAAUGUGAAGUCGAUGAUACGGUGAAUGAAGUUAGUGUUGGCGGCGAGGGCCGGAGCUCUGUCCUCUAGCCCCCUCGAGGCCUGCUCAACAGCGCUGCCGCCACCUCCCCUGCCUCCCCACUCCCCGGGGAGUGGCUGUUAGUCGUUCCCCCCCUCCUCCUCGGAGCCUGAGCUAAUACGUUGUCAAACCCCGCAACCUGCCGCUGUCGCCUUCACUCGCCGCCGUUCUCGGUGCGUCCAUCAACAGACGGGCCAACAGACGCCUCCCGCAACAACAACAACGACGACGACGACGAUGAUGACUUUUUUUCCCAAUAGGCUAAAAUCGUUCAAGGUUGAUCGUGGCUUUAAAUUUAAAAACACGGACGCGUUUUAUUUUAAAAAAGGGACCACCAACUGUCGCCACCUCCCUCGCGCUCUCCAAAACACACCAAUUGAGUUGGGACUCAACUAACACUGUUGAGCGGAAAUGUCGGGGGUGUUGUUUUUGAUUGGCAUGCCGCUGACCAAUCAUAAAGGGAAAAAGACUCGCCUAAAAUAAAUUGACGGUGACGUUGACGUCAUCAGAACAAUCAAAGUGUCUCAGGGGCGGACCCAAACGCUAACUACAAUGUUCAGUUGACGGAGGCCAUAUUGCUUCUAGGGCAGGUGAUAAGGAAGGCUGACGUGAUUGGCUGUUCGCGUGUGAUCGGGUUGUGUUGUUGUGGGUGAUGUGGGCUUCUCCGAUUGCAGUUCAAGGCAGGAAAUUCCAGGAUUUUGACCCAGCGACAGGAAAGGGAUGACAAUGUAUUUCCAAAUCUGGAUGGACAGUCAAGGCAAAUCAAGAUUUUCUUUGGGAAUGCAGCUAACAAAAUGAUGUCAUUUACUAUGGCGAGAACCUUGAAAAUGUGAACAUUGUCAGCAAGUGAUAUGGAACAAAACUUCGACUUGUUCCCUCAGCCAGCUGAUAUCAGACACAGGGAAACUUCAGGAAAAGUCAAAAAGGACACAGCCUGUAAACUUUGCCUCAGCAGAAACACUUCUCCACACUAAUGUUUUAACACUGAAGUAGUGCUCCAAGAUGUAGAAAAUUUUAACAGACUAUACAACUCCUUUGAUUUCGAAAAGGAAGAGAAAAA